UACGUAGGCAGCAAGCGUUGUUCGGAGUUACUGGGCGUAAAGAGUGCGUAGGCGGUCUUUUAAGUUUGGUGUGAAAUCUCCCGGCUCAACUGGGAGGGUGCGCCGAAAACUGGGAGGCUUGAGGAUGGGAGAGGCAUGCGGAAUUCCUGGUGUAGCGGUGAAAUGCGUAGAUAUCAUGAGGAAGACCAGUGGCGAAGGCGGGUCUCUGGACAGUUCCUGACACUGAGGCACGAAGGCCAGGGGAGCAAACGGG
rnacentral:rRNA from 1 species